rnacentral:rRNA from 1 species
GCUGUAGCUAACGCGUUAAGUAUCCCGCCUGGGGAGUACGUUCGCAAGAAUGAAACUCAAAGGAAUUGACGGGGGCCCGCACAAGCGGAGGAACAUGUGGUUUAAUUCGAUGAUACGCGAGGAACCUUACCCGGGCUUGAAAGUUAGCGACGAUUCUUGAAAGAGGAUUUCCCUUCGGGGCGCGAAACUAGGUGCUGCAUGGUUGUCGUCAGCUCGUGCCGUGAGGUGUCGGCUUAAGUGCCAUAACGAGCGCAACCCUUGUUGUCAGUUACUAACAGGUUCCGCUGAGGACUCUGACAAGACUGCCAUCGUAAGAUGUGAGGAAGGUGGGGAUGACGUCAAAUCAGCACGGCCCUUACGUCCGGGGCUACACACGUGUUACAAUGGGGGGUACAGAAGGCAGCUACACGGCGACGUGAUGCUAAUCCCGAAAGCCUCUCUCAGUUCGGAUUGGAGUCUGCAACCCGACUCCAUGAAGCUGGAUUCGCUAGUAAUCGCGCAUCAGCCAUGGCGCGGUGAAUACGUUCCCGGGCCUUGUACACACCGCCCGUCAAGCCAUGGAAGCCGGGAGUACCUGAAGCAUGCAACCGCAAGGAGCGUACGAAGGUAAUACCGGUAACUGGGGCUAAGUCGUAACAAGGUAGCCGUACCGGAAGGUGCGGCUG